rnacentral:rRNA from 1 species
AGCGUACACGGUGGAUGCCCUGGCAGUCAGAGGCGAUGAAGGGCGUGCUAAUCUGCGAUAAGCGCCGGUAAGGUGAUAUGAACCGUUAUAACCGGCGAUACCCGAAUGGGGAAACCCAGUGUGAUUCGUCACACUAUCAUUAACUGAAUCCAUAGGUUAAUGAGGCGAACCGGGGGAACUGAAACAUCUAAGUACCCCGAGGAAAAGAAAUCAACCGAGAUUCCCCCAGUAGCGGCGAGCGAACGGGGAGGAGCCCAGAGCCUGAAUCAGCAUGUGUGUUAGUGGAAGCGUCUGGAAAGGUGCGCGAUACAGGGUGACAGCCCCGUACACAAAAGCGCAUGUGCUGUGAGCUCGAUGAGUAGGGCGGGACACGUGGUAUCCUGUCUGAAUAUGGGGGGACCAUCCUCCAAGGCUAAAUACUCCUGACUGACCGAUAGUGAACCAGUACCGUGAGGGAAAGGCGAAAAGAACCCCGGCGAGGGGAGUGAAAAAGAACCUGAAACCGUGUACGUACAAGCAGUGGGAGCACAGGUUUACCUGUGUGACUGCGUACCUUUUGUAUAAUGGGUCAGCGACUUAUAUUCUGUAGCAAGGUUAACCGAAUAGGGGAGCCGGAGGGAAACCGAGUCUUAAUUGGGCGUUAAGUUGCAGGGUAUAGACCCGAAACCCGGUGAUCUAGCCAUGGGCAGGUUGAAGGUUGGGUAACACUAACUGGAGGACCGAACCGACUAAUGUUGAAAAAUUAGCGGAUGACCUGUGGCUGGGGGUGAAAGGCCAAUCAAACCGGGAGAUAGCUGGUUCUCCCCGAAAGCUAUUUAGGUAGCGCCUCGUGAAUUCAUCUCCGGGGGUAGAGCACUGUUUCGGCUAGGGGGCCAUCCCGGCUUACCAACCCGAUGCAAACUGCGAAUACCGGAGAAUGUUAUCACGGGAGACACACGGCGGGUGCUAACGUCCGUCGUGAAGAGGGAAACAACCCAGACCGCCAGCUAAGGUCCCAAAGUCAUGGUUAAGUGGGAAACGAUGUGGGAAGGCCCAGACAGCCAGGAUGUUGGCUUAGAAGCAGCCAUCAUUUAAAGAAAGCGUAAUAGCUCACUGGUCGAGUCGGCCUGCGCGGAAGAUGUAACGGGGCUAAACCAUGCACCGAAGCUGCGGCAGCGAACGUAUCACUUAAAGCGAUUCAGCGGGUUACGAUUGACGGAGCGAAGCGACGUCAAAGCGUAUACAAAGUCGAGUCGGUUUAAGGAUACGUUCGUUGGGUAGGGGAGCGUUCUGUAAGCCCGUGAAGGUGGCCUGUGAGGGUUGCUGGAGGUAUCAGAAGUGCGAAUGCUGACAUAAGUAACGAUAAAGCGGGUGAAAAGCCCGCUCGCCGGAAGACCAAGGGUUCCUGUCCAACGUUAAUCGGGGCAGGGUGAGUCGACCCCUAAGGCGAGGCCGAAAGGCGUAGUCGAUGGGAAACGGGUUAAUAUUCCCGUACUUGGUGUUACUGCGAAGGGGGGACGGAGAAGGCUAUGUUGGCCGGGCGACGGUUGUCCCGGUUUAAGCGUGUAGGUGUGUGUUCCAGGUAAAUCCGGUUCACUUUAACACUGAGGCGUGAUGACGAGGCACUACGGUGCUGAAGCAACAAAUGCCCUGCUUCCAGGAAAAGCCUCUAAGCAUCAGGUAACAUCAAAUCGUACCCCAAACCGACACAGGUGGUCAGGUAGAGAAUACCAAGGCGCUUGAGAGAACUCGGGUGAAGGAACUAGGCAAAAUGGUGCCGUAACUUCGGGAGAAGGCACGCUGACACGUAGGUGAAGUGAUUUACUCAUGGAGCUGAAGUCAGUCGAAGAUACCAGCUGGCUGCAACUGUUUAUUAAAAACACAGCACUGUGCAAACACGAAAGUGGACGUAUACGGUGUGACGCCUGCCCGGUGCCGGAAGGUUAAUUGAUGGGGUCAGCGUAAGCGAAGCUCCUGAUCGAAGCCCCGGUAAACGGCGGCCGUAACUAUAACGGUCCUAAGGUAGCGAAAUUCCUUGUCGGGUAAGUUCCGACCUGCACGAAUGGCGUAAUGAUGGCCAGGCUGUCUCCACCCGAGACUCAGUGAAAUUGAACUCGCUGUGAAGAUGCAGUGUACCCGCGGCAAGACGGAAAGACCCCGUGAACCUUUACUAUAGCUUGACACUGAACAUUGAGCCUUGAUGUGUAGGAUAGGUGGGAGGCUUUGAAGUGUGGACGCCAGUCUGCAUGGAGCCGACCUUGAAAUACCACCCUUUAAUGUUUGAUGUUCUAACGUGGACCCGUAAUCCGGGUUGCGGACAGUGUCUGGUGGGUAGUUUGACUGGGGCGGUCUCCUCCUAAAGAGUAACGGAGGAGCACGAAGGUUGGCUAAUCCUGGUCGGACAUCAGGAGGUUAGUGCAAUGGCAUAAGCCAGCUUGACUGCGAGCGUGACGGCGCGAGCAGGUGCGAAAGCAGGUCAUAGUGAUCCGGUGGUUCUGAAUGGAAGGGCCAUCGCUCAACGGAUAAAAGGUACUCCGGGGAUAACAGGCUGAUACCGCCCAAGAGUUCAUAUCGACGGCGGUGUUUGGCACCUCGAUGUCGGCUCAUCACAUCCUGGGGCUGAAGUAGGUCCCAAGGGUAUGGCUGUUCGCCAUUUAAAGUGGUACGCGAGCUGGGUUUAGAACGUCGUGAGACAGUUCGGUCCCUAUCUGCCGUGGGCGCUGGAGAACUGAGGGGGGCUGCUCCUAGUACGAGAGGACCGGAGUGGACGCAUCACUGGUGUUCGGGUUGUCAUGCCAAUGGCACUGCCCGGUAGCUAAAUGCGGAAGAGAUAAGUGCUGAAAGCAUCUAAGCACGAAACUUGCCCCGAGAUGAGUUCU